AAAAGAAGGAAUCGUCUCUUGUAAGCCACAUGAGGAAAAGAAAGAUUAGUUUAAAAGGGAAUGGAGUACAGUAUCAACAAGCUUCAGGAGCAGCCACUAAAAGCAGUUCAUAUAUAAACAGGCUAAAGAACAUUCUGAAGAAUGAAAAACUUGAGUUGAAAAUGAACUGGUACAGUAUCUUCAGUGAUAUUUGUUAAGAAAUUAAAACUAAAACUAAUGAGCAAUUACAAAUAACAUACUUUGAGAAUAAACCUAACCUAGGACUUGAGUCA
rnacentral:lncRNA from 1 species